CACGCCUUCUUCUGAGAAGGCCAGGGAGCAGAUGAGAGGUGUUGAGACAGCACAGAGGCUGGCAGGCUGGAGCAAUGACUCACUCAUUCACCAGCACCGGACAGACAUGUGUUGAGCACCCACCGCCUGCCAAACUCUGAGACAGGACUGGCUCCAGAUGUGAGCCAGAAGCUGGGAAUGAGAUGUGCAAAUUCAAAGCUGCAGCCAGAGACAGAGGACGAGCUGGGAGCAGCAGCCAAGCCGUGCUGGGAUGGGAGGGAGGAGGCUGAGCCAGAUGCUGUCUUUUGCAAAGACAGACCUCACAGCUGAUGAAGUCGCCUCCUCAGAGAAUGCCUGGUAAAUGCUAAAAGCAAGAUCAAUUUCUGACUUUUUCUCUGUGCAGAAGAAGCCUCCUGACCUCGGUGGAGGUGCCCGCAGCUACAGAACCAACUGUGACUUCAUAUUUGCAGCUAAAAUUUACACGCAGCUCUGCCCUCCCAUCACCCCCAGAUGGCCACGGUCCCUUCAAAUGGACAUUGGAGCCCAAUCUGCAGCAUGACUAUCACCACAACAAUCACAGAACUGUAACUACCACCCCCCCGACCACCACCCCUGCAACCAGCAUGGCUCUUGUGUUCACUGGGGGCCACAUCUGGUGUCCCCGUGGCUGGAAUCCCUCCGUGUUCAAGUCCCUAGGGUGUGGAUGAAAUCAUGUUUCGGAUACUCUCCUGUGGUCCUGGAAGACUGAAGGAGGAGAACGAGGUGAGGUGGGAGGCAGAUCUCCCCAUCCCCCACCCUCUGCCCCCUGCCAGGGUAAAGCAAUUGAAGAUUCAUUCCUAGUGGACCAAAACUCCAAGAGAAGAACAGCAGGACAAUUAAAGAAGAAGGCUGGGCCUUGCCCAGACUGCAUACUUCUCAUUCCCGAAGUCACGAGGCCUCCGAACUACACUUGUGCAGACCGGCUCCUUGCAGACCAAAGGGGGAGCAAUGUGAAAGGUCCUCUACCCAUAUGCCUUUGCCAUAGAGUCCAUCUCGUCUAAGAGCUGCGUGUGCCUACCUGGGAGGAUCUUGAGAUAUAUCGAAUAUGGACUCUGCAUCAGGCAAAACAAAGUGAUUGGCCAAAGAAAAACUAGAAGAAAUGCCCCGUACAAGUGAUCUAAACUGCCAAGAGGGGGCGCCUCAGCAGCUCUCCCUCUGAGGCUGGCUGUGUGUCUAUGCACACUCACGGUGCUCUUUU